GCAGCUCAAGUUUCUCUGUUGCUUUGGUAACCCACCCCCAUUUCUUCACAUGACUACUGCACGGGUAUCUUGCUGCCAAGAUAAUGGUCUCUAUUAUGGAUCGAAUGUUAAUGGGGCAGUACUCUACUCUGGCCUACAGCCAGCUGCUUCUGCAGCCCCACGUCUGAAAGCCUCAUCUACGUGGCAUCGCAAUGAGACGGGCACAAGACUCACCCACGGCAGCCGGAGGGGCCACGUGGAGUUCCAAGAGACGCUGAAUCGUGUGGAGGUCGAGGGUGAAGCAUCCUGCCGUCUCCAUCUCUGGAGUCUUUUUAAGCCCAAAGCUGUAGUUCUCAAUGCUGACCUGUCUCCAGCCAUCUCCAAAAACAUAAAAAAAUAUUCAAUUGUACAGCCAAAUGAAUAUGUACUGGUUGUCAAAUUUUAUAAUAUGUAUGUAUGUUGUCAGGAAAUCUUAGAGGGAAUUGAAGGCAACAGAUCACCCAAAAGUAGUAUAGAUUAUUGGCCAGGAUGCUGGCUUAUGAGGGAGAAUGCCUACAUUCAAAUCCAGCUCAGCUUCUCUCUGUCUCUGUCUCUCCUCCGUCUCUCCAAAGGCUGUGUAACCUUGGUGUGAUUUUAAAAAAUAAUUCGAUUGUACCACUCUCCAACUGAAACCCUUCAGAGGCCUCCCACUGAAUAUAUAACGAAGCACAAUCAAAUGAACAUUCAAAACCCCAGUGUCCAACUUAAGGACAAGGACCUGGUAUGUGUCUCUGUGUGUCCCCCACCCCUGCCCCUCUUUUCUCUUCCUGGAGGUUAUCACUGUCCUGAGUAUCAUUCCCUUUAAAAAAUAUUCUUUCAUCCCAUAUGUAUCCACAAAAAAUGUGUUGUUUAGUUUGCUUGUUUUGAGCUUUAUGGAGAUGGUGUCUCACAGCAUGUAGACUUCUGGGGUUGUUUUUAAAAUUCAUCAUCUUUCUAAGAUGCUCCAUUUUUUGCUCUUUCAUUUCUGCCCUUACACCCAGUAUGAUCUUUAAAAACUAAUCAGAUUAUAUCACGCUCAAACUGAAAUUCUUCAGUGGCCACCCAUUGAAUUUGGGUUAAUCCCUAACUCCACUCACAAGGCUCUCCAUGAUGUAUUUGGGUAUUUAAAGUCCUCAGGCAGCCUCCUUUGUUCUAGGGGUUUGCUUCUCCGUGCCAGGCUUAUCCUAUUUCCGCCUGUGAGUUUGAGCAUGCUACUUCCCACCUUCUCCCACUCCCUCACUCCUGUUCCUAAGCGGCCUUGGUAAAUCAGAGGCUCUGCCCGCCUCUCCAGGCUCUGCACUCCUCACUCCUUGCACUCGCUUUGUGCUCCACCCACGCUGCCCUCACUUUCCAGUUCCCCUCAUGCCCAUCUCUGAGGCUUUGCACAAAAGGCGCCCUCCACUUGGAUUGCUGCUCUUCCUCAGUCUUGGUGAUGUCGUCUCCUGUUUGCCGGAUGACCCUACUCACAUAUGCACAUCCUCUCUCCUACUAGGUCAAGUGGCCUGUUCAAAUAGUUCAUUCUUCCCUGUUCAUUCUCUUCAGUGCAUUCAAUAAAAUGUGUAAUUUAAUUAUAUGUUCUUACUUGCACAAUUAUUUAUUUACUGCUCUGUUUUCCUCUUUGACAUUCAAUGAAGGCAAGUGUUACCCAUCUCAUUCAGCUCUGUAUCCCUGGAACCCACUGAUAGAUGCUUAAGUGCAUAAAUUAAAUAAUGAAUAAAUUUACUGUAGGAAUCUGUG